rnacentral:rRNA from 1 species
UACAGAGGUCUCAAGCGUUGUUCGGAUUCAUUGGGCGUAAAGGGUGCGUAGGUGGCUUGGUAAGUCGGAUGUGAAAUCCCGGGGCUCAACUCCGAAACUGCAUUCGAUACUGCCGUGCUUGAGGACUGGAGAGGAGACUGGAAUUCUCGGUGUAGCGGUGAAAUGCGUAGAUAUCGAGAGGAACACCUGCGGCGAAGGCGGGUUGCUGGGCUGACACUGACGGCUGAUGCGCGAAAGCCAGGGGAGCGAACGGG